AUGCAGGUACUGUUAGAAUACAACUGAAGUGUUCUAUUGUCGUUUCCCCUGUUUAAAGUAAUUGAUGCAUAACUACCUGUCUACUGCAAUUCCUUAGCAAGACAGAGACGCUUGGUCUCAAACAC
rnacentral:snoRNA from 1 species